UUGAACGCUGGCGGCAUGCCUUACACCUGCAAGUCGAACGGUAACAGGUCUUCGGAUGCUGACGAGUGGCGAACGGGUGAGUAAUACAUCGGAACGUGCCCGAUCGUGGGGGAUAACGAGGCGAAAGCUUUGCUAAUACCGCAUACGAUCUACGGAUGAAAGCGGGGGAUCUUCGGACCUCGCGCGGACGGAGCGGCCGAUGGCAGAUUAGGUAGUUGGUGGGAUAGAAGCUUACCAAGCCGACGAUCUGUAGCUGGUCUGAGAGGAUGAUCAGCCACACUGGGACUGAGACACGGCCCAGACUCCUACGGGAGGCAGCAGUGGGGAAUUUUGGACAAUGGGCGAAAGCCUGAUCCAGCCAUGCCGCGUGCAGGAUGAAGGCCUUCGGGUUGUAAACUGCUUUUGUACGGAACGAAAAGCCUCUUUCUAAUAAAGAGGGGUCAUGACGGUACCGUAAGAAUAAGCACCGGCUAACUACGUG
rnacentral:rRNA from 1 species